rnacentral:rRNA from 1 species
CCUCGGGAGCUUGCACAGGUGCUGCAUGGCUGUCGUCAGCUCGUGUCGUGAGAUGUUCGGUUAAGUCCGCUAACGAGCGCAACCCUCGCUGUGUGUUAUAUGUGUCACACGGGACUGCCGGUCUUAAGCCGGAGGAAGGUGGGGAUGAUGUCAAGUCAGCAUGGCCUUUAUAUCCUGGGCUACACACACGCUACAAUGGCCAACACAAUAGGUUGCUAAGCCGCGAGGUGGCGCCAAUCCAUAAAGUUGGUCUCAGUUCAGAUUGUAGGCUGCAACCCGCCUGCAUGAAGAUGGAGUUGCUAGUAACCGCAGGUCAGCUAUACUGCGGUGAAUACGUUCCCGGGGCUU